rnacentral:rRNA from 1 species
AGUGAACGCUUGCUUUCUUCCUAACACAUUCAAGUCGAACGUCAGCACAGUAAGAGCUUGCUCUUACUGGUGGCGAGUGGCGGACGGGUGAGGAAUACAUCGGAAUCUACUUUUUCGUGGGGGAUAACUUAGGGAAACUUACGCUAAUACCGCAUACGACCUACUGGUGAAAGCAGGGGAUCUUCGGACCUUGCGCGAUUGAAUGAGCCGAUGUCGGAUUAGCUAGUUGGCGGGGUAAAGGCCCACCAAGUCUCCGCUCCGUAGCUGGUCUGAGAGGAUGAGAAGCCACAAUGGAACUGAGAAACGGUCCAGACUCAGACGGGAGGCAGAAGUGGGGAAUAUUGGACAAUGGGCGCAAGCCUGAUACAGCCAUACCGCGUGGGUGAAGAAGGCCUUCGGGUUGUAAAGAAAUGGGGUUGGGAAAGAAAAGCAGCAGGUUAAUACAAAGCUGUUCUGAAGGUAACAAAAGAAUAAGCAAAGGAGAAAGUCGGG